CCGCGCCCCCGGCGACGGCCGAUCCCCCGCUGGGGCGGACGGGCCGCGCGGCUACGGGAGGCGCAGCCCCCCUCGGACCUGGGGGACGGUCUUAAAUGAGGGCAAAGGGCACAGGCGCUUCCUAAAACGAUCGAGAGGUUUAUUGAGACCGAUCCAGAGGCGUCGCCGAGGGGCCCCGCGCCCCCGCAGGCCCAGCUGCGGCCACGUCCCCAGCUCCUCGCAGCGCUAAGCUGCUCUCAAUGCCAAUUCCCGGAGCCCGGAAAACGAAACGGGGCGGCUUCUGGCCGCUGCUGGGAAAUUGCGACCUCUUCUCCACAUCCGUUUAAAUACAAUCUUCGAAUAAUCCGGGGCAAACCACCUGGAGGAGUGAUGCGUGAAUAACGCUCUAUAUCAUCACCGCGUGCAUCGUCUCGAGAGGCCUACAGUGCAGUCUUUAGUCACGCUUAAAAAUCGUAUUUCUCGCAUGAACGAAAAAACCAACAUUGCCGAAAUACGACUCCUUUCAGCAGAUCUGGGCCCCACUUGAUGGGGCAGAAACCCCAGAGUUGGCCACUGCGGCAGUGGGAGACAGAGGCUCCGUGGACCCCUGCAAAGCUUUUCUGAAAAUGCUAAUUCUUGGAGAAAGAAAGAUGCUGAUAAAAAACACUUCACAAGGGGGAAAUGUCCACUUGGCAGAGGCUGAGAAGUUUCCGUGUUAAGAUACCUUUUGAGGAGCUCUAUGUGAGACACCAUCUUGCACUUUUCCAUUAAUUCCCAGGAGAGGAGGCUCAGGGGUCAAGUAAAAUAGGAAGCCGACGUGUCAAGUCACAAACUCUCAACACCACCACCCACGGCGACAACUACACAGAGCUGAAGGGAGGGGGCGUAGGAGAGGGUGGCAAGGGACCAGAGCAACCUCAAAAAAUCACCGUUGUCACAAAGAAAAGCAUAAAAUAGUCUCUACAAUCUCCACGAGCACGUGUGGUUCAGCAUGCAGAUUCCACACAUCACACCACCAACUGAAGCUGAUCUUUUCUUCCUAAUGGAAAAUUAAGCUCUGCACAGAAUACAAGAUUGCAGGUGAAUAAUUCUCCUUGCUGUUGGAUGAACAGAUGUGAAUAACAGGACAAUCUCAAUCUCUAGGCAAUAAAAAAAUUAAAAAUU
rnacentral:lncRNA from 1 species